UGGCAAUGAUGCUUGAAUUUCUUCACCUGAAUCAUUGUGUUGAUCAAAACAUACGAGCUUUUUAACCCUGAGCCCA